UGUAUAUUUAAAAGAGACACUCUGAUAGAAAAAUAAAAGUUUGGACAUUAGAAUUGCAAAGACUCCUCUCUAUCUAAAGAAAGAGGUGUCGAUACAAGCGACACCUCCAUGAGGUCAGAUUCCAGAGGGCCCUAGGACAGCUGAGGGUCUAUGGUCACAGAGAUAUGACAGGAGGGGUGAGAGCACAGGCCAGGGCUCUCACCUCUGACUGGUGGGUUGACUCAGCUUUGCAGGAGAGGAAUCUGGCAAAAGCCAUUGAAGUAGCCACACAAGCCCAUCCUUUGAUUCACCGCUCACUACUGGAAACACGUCUGCUGAAACAGCAGAGGUGUCGUGUGUGGGGCAACGCAUCGGAAGCAUCUGAGUUUUCCCUAACAGGGGAUGGGUUGAAUAACUGUGGCAAAUCCACACAAAGGAAGCUCAUGGAAGACAGAAAAAGGACACAUUAGAGCUGUGUAGAUCCACAGGCCUGGGAGGCACUCCAUGAAGGUGAAGGGACCAAAGCAAGUUGCAGUGAAACCACUUUCAUAACCGCCAAGGCCCAGAGCCCUGACCCGCGAGCGUGCAGGUUGAAAUGUGCGCAGGUGGGUGGGGAGGCGGGAGGAAUAUGACUGGUUACCAGAAUGAAGGAUGGAAAAAAAGGUUAUAGCAGACUGGGAAAAGAGCUGGUAUGUACCUACCUACUGAAACUGCAGAAUAGUCCAUGAAAUUGCUGCAAAUAUGCAAAAUAUAGAACGCGUACAGGAACAAGGACUCGAUGGCAUGGAUAAAUUUAGAAACAGUUACUUGUUUAGAAGCUAGGAAGGAAGGUAACUUUCAUCUUGGAUUUAUUUUAGUAUACUUUUUUCAGGCAUGCAAAAAAAAGAUAUCCAAUUAAAAGCUGCAAACAGCAGGGGAGGUGAGCCUCAUGUUUUAUUAAAAUUUUGAGCUCAGUUAGAGCCUGAGCUGUGGUCCACCCUUGCCGAGGGUGUCCCCAAACCCCAGGCCUUGGGUCCAAUUCCUGCCAGCCUGGCAUGCAGUAGGAGGUGCUGUGAUCUAUUGUGCAGUUGGCUCCAGGGGACUCUGCAGGGAAGAGGCUGUGCCUGAGGGGUGCAGCUGGAGCCCAAGGGGCUGCAGGUUCACCAGCCAGCAGGGCAGGGACCCAAGGCUGUGGCUCUCCGGCCCAGCACUCCUUGUUCUCAGACCUUCCUCUUUUCUCAGAAGACCAGGUUCCUCCUGUUUCACCCAACCUUCUGCUGGCCGAGCUUCUGUAGGUUGCUCUCCAGGCCUUUGUGCCCAACCCAGGCCUAGGUAGCCACCCACGCCAGGUUAGCGUAAGGAUCCCCAUUUCCUCCAGGGCAGGGGAGGGUGAGAAUUCUUCCUUCCCCAAGGGACGAGCCCGCUCUGGCUCUCUACCUUGGGAUCAAAUCUUACAGUUCUCCAGCAGCAGCCCAACCUCAGCUCCAGGAGCAGUGUGAUUUCAGAUCUCCUCGCUCCCCAGGAAUCUGCUGGGCUCUGUCUGUGCAGCCCCUGUAAUUUCGUGGGGAUGCAGCAGGGCCUGCCUGCCUAUGCCCUGCAGAGAAACACAGCCCGCAGGUGCACCGGAGGUAGCAGAGGGCACACACAUUCAUCCCCAAGGCCCAGUCACACAGGAUAGAAACUUUUUACAAACAGUAUUUUAAACAGAGCUGUUUAAUGUAUUUUACUACCAGAAAUACAUAGAUUUAGUAAGCCAACCAUUUUUGCUAUUUUUACACAUUUGUUUAUACGUUUUUAAACCUUUUGCUAAGUGCAAAUACUGGAUUCCUCUCUCUGGGUUUAAGGCAAGUAGCACAGGGCGGUUGCUGGACAGCCUCUGGCUCCGUGGAGCAGGCGCUGUGGCUAAGAGGGAAGGUGCCAGCGGCCCGGGGCUCCUGCCAUGGCCCUCAGACAGGGGUUGAUCUCCACGGGCAUCUCUGGCACAGACGGCUUCUCGAGGAGCCCGGGGUCCAGGUCCUGCCUCAGGGUCACUGAGGUGCCUGGAGGGUCAUUUCACAGACCCACAGAGAUUUGUUCUAGGCUCAGAACGCUCAGCAGUGACCUUCAACAACUGUGCAAUGCUGGGUGCCACGCUAUGGUCCCCACAGUGAUGGGCAGGCCUGGGAAAUACAGGCAUCCUGCUGUAGGAGGGCAGGACACAGUGUCAGGGGGUCAGCCAUCAGGCUCACCCUCCUCUCUAAGGUCUGUGCGUGUGCACUCGGAACUUCUGGGAACCCUACAGCCAUCAGAGAUACGUCAACAGGAACGGAGGCCAAUGCAGGGGCAGGCAGGCUUCUGCUCUGCACACGGGCAGGAGGGUGAAGUACGGCAGAGCACAGGGCUCGGGGUGGGGCAAGGCUUCAGGUGCAGCUCAAACAGCCUGGUGAGCGCUGGACGGGAAAAGGCCAGUGGGAACAUGGCAGGGACUCCCACGCAGACCCAGAGCGAGACUCAUCUGACUCAGGAAAGAGCAGCUGUCUGGCUUGCAGAGCACCUGGUGGGGGCUGCUGCUCAGGUGGGUGCCGAGCACAAUCCAGGUCAUCUGUCCCCCUGGGGAACCCAUUGUCCCCACCGAACCUUAGGGGAAAAGCUGUUCAUUACCUGAUCGGUGGCAGAGAGGGCUCCCCAGCAAUGGGGCUGCCUGGGAGAGGCCCCAGGCCUCUGUCACAGCCUCCUGAAAAGGAUCUUCUGUUUGGCCAAAGCUUCGACCAUCCUGCCCUCAUUCGCUGCCCAGCUGAGUUUAGAUCAACUACAAAACAGAAACCAUAGCAUGAGAUGGCUCUCUGCAGCCUCAUCUGAGUGGGCCAAGAGGGAAGAGGAGAGACACCCCUGAAUGGUCACUGCUGGCAGCCUGGGAUUCAGGACUUGAGGGGCACAGUCCACAGACUCCCCACCAUAAGGGAUGCUCCCAGGCCCACGGACAUCACUCCGCGACCUCUUUGCUUGAACCAACUGUGAGACUUUGUGAGGGGCUGGCCCCCUAAGAGCAAGGCAUGAGAGACAGCAGGGCCCUGAACCCCUCAACCACAGGCACAGCUGCGGCUCCGGGCAGCAGGGCGUGUCUCACCAUAGGCAGGCCUCAGCGGGAGCGCGUGGCACAACCCAGCCUUGGUUCAGAUGGCUUAGCCCUCUCCAACCUGCACGAUUCUGACUCCAGCUUUAUUCUUAUGGAUCAGACUGUGCUGCAGUAAGGAAGGCCUGCCUGGGUUUUCACUGCUACACUUCUGUUGUCUGCCAGGGGGAGGGGAUGGAGGCAGACAUUUCCCUUCACCUCUUUCUGCAGGGGCGUGAGUGGCAGAGCAGAGACGGGCUGCCUUGUGGCCAGGGCAACUGCGCCGCCGCUAGGAUGGCAGAACUCUUCAGGAAGAGGGCUUGGCUGCCCCCUCAUCUCUGGCCCAGCGAGCACCAGAUCAGUCCCAUUACAGGCACCCAGAGGCCACUGGCCUGCUGGCCGCUCUUCAAGGGACAGUGGCCUUUCCCAGGAAGGAGUGGGAAGAAAGCCAGCCUGUCUGCUCGAGAGCCAAGUCUGUCAUCCCUACUCAGAAGGCAUAGGCAGAGCCAUCAGCCUUGGAGGCAACAGGGGCAUCUAUCCAAACCCCACCUGGAACAGGCUGGGGGUGCUCAGGGGCUCCAGGAGGGGCGGGGCUCCAGGCCGUCAGAAGCCGUGCCCGGGCUGAGGGCCAACGUGCACAGGCAGGCUGUGCUCCAGGGGCAGAUGGAUGGGGGCAAAGUUCUACUUGUCUUGCGCGUUGGGCAGAAGGGGCAUGUGGGGGUGGAAGGGAAGGACAAAAACUUACUGGGGGAUCUGCAGCUGUGCAGGCUCUGCAGGACGGGCCUCAGGCAGGCUUUGACCCUCUGGACUUUCUCUGGAGGCUUCUCCAAGGGGCCCAAAGCAUUUGAAGGUGUUCUCUGAAAAGGAGAUGGGAUUUAGUAGAGAAACAGCUAAAGCCAACCAUGCUUGGAUCUGGUUUGGGACCAGGGCUCCAUAUCCUGACCAUGGUCCCACCUGCCCGAGCUGGGGGCCUGAGAGCCUGGAGCACGAGGCAAGGCCAGGAACCUCUAACCUUCAGCAUCAUUCUUACCUGUGGACACAGGAGGUGUGGUCAGGCCACAACAAGGCCGAUUAAAGCACAAAACGCAGCACACACAGACAGCAACCAUCACCAAGGACAAAAUCAUACUUCUGAGUGAAUACUACAGUCUACAGUGAUCACCUUGGAAGGCAGCGUGUUAACCAGCUCAGAACAGGUGGAGCUUCUGUGAGACACUUUCCUUCAGAGCCAGGGCCCGGAGGGCCACUCACAGAAACUCCGUUUCACUCCCUGUAACCUCAGAAGGGUCAGGGUGGCUCCCCAUCUUUUCAGUCUGGUUUGGCUUCUACUUGCUUCCCAAGCUCAAACCCACCCCUUGAGACCGCCUUGCCAUCAAGGAGAUGCUGAAGCUGUAUCUAAGCUUUUCUGGCCUUUCCCACAGGAAGCUGGACACACAGCCUCCUUCUGGAUUUCCUCAAUUGGCCUCUCAUCAUCUUCCUAGAAGAAGAGCAAUAAGACAAUGAGCUUCUUUCAACCAGCUCCAUGUGGUGCCAAGAUGCCCCGGGACACAGAGGAGGCUGGCUUGCUGCUGGCCAGCACACCAUCACUCCCAGUUCCCUCAGACUCUUCCUCCUCCAUCACUGGAUGGUGUUCCCAUGAGGAUCCAUCUGAGAGGCUGGGACAGAGGUGCAGGUUCUGUGCAUGGCGGGUGGCCAUCCAGGGGCUGGGCCGAGAGCCUGUGUUGUUCACUCUGCUGUAGGGGAAGCAGAAGAAGGGGCAGACUGACAACCCAAGGGCUUGGGCAGGGCGUGAGUCUGCGGCGGGCAGGGCCUGAGGAGUUUCAGAUUCUGAGUCUACAAACUCUAAGCACAGCAGCCCUUUUGUGCAGAGUCCAGCAGGGUCUUGCUGACUCCCUGAACUGAGCUGGACAAAUGUUCCCUUGGGGCUGCUGGGCCCCGAGGCUGGUCUGUAGCUCCUGGACAGCCAGUGGGCUGUGGACGCAGAAGAUCCUGCCAGCACAACAGUGGCCUCACCCAGGUCUCGGGGACAGGAGGAAGGGCACAGGAAUUUAACAACAAGCCCCUACAGACCUUGCUGUCUCCCCUCCCCCAACUCAAUACUUGGUAGGCCUGAGACACUUAUUGGCAAUUCAAAUUUGGAUGGUCUCAGCCUGGGGACAGGAGCCAGAGAAGUGCUCUGGGCACAGGCAGCUGUGUGGGCUUCACCAGGGAAGCUCUGGGGGCCACGCUGGGCAAGCAGGCGGCAGGGUCUGUGACACAUGGAGCUCCCACAUCUCCACCUGCCCCAGUAACCGUGGUGGGGGGACUGGGCUGCUGGCCUGGGACAGACCACCCCAACUGUGGCUGCUUCGUGUAAUGUGCUAGAGCUUGACCCUCUCCUCAGAGGCCCUGCCUGCAAAGGGGCUUCCCAGUUUAUCUGGGGACUGCAAGACACUCACCAGAUGGAAAACACCCACCAGGAUGGUGUACAUCUCUGAUGCUGCACAGAGCAGCUGACCACCUGCUGACCAGCAUGGCGGUGAAGGCCUGUGGGACAAGAGUCCACCUGCAGGGCUGAGGCUCAGUGAGGAGCAGAGUGGGGCACUGCAACCAAAACCUGACCGCAUCAACUGCACUGAUUCUAACCAAGUGACAGCCAGGCUUGGUCUGUUUCCUGGGGUCUUCUGGGUGCUUCUCCAGGAGUGAGGAGCAGCCAGGCUGGGAAGCAGUGUGGAGAUGGCAGGAGGGCACAAGCAGGCUUCAAUGCUGCAAGAAGCCUGCUGGACACACGCAUUUCCCCAGAUGAGGCAUCAGAGCCGACCCACGUGGCCAGGGGGGUUCUGGGCUGCAGCAAUAUCAGAGAUAACUCUGGAUAUUUCAUGCUGCUCUGAGGCUCUGACUGGCUGGUGACAUCCACGGAACUUGUGAGAUGUGGAUGGAGGGCCACAGAGGGGAGAACAUGAGCUGGAAGGAAUGCCUGGAAAUCCUCAGACCAGAGGACAGUGUGGCAUCCCCAUCGUGGGGCUGAGCAAUGGAGAGUUUGCAUAUUUAUUUAGCAUGUUAUUAAUGUCACAGCCAAGAUAAUAAUGACUUCACUACACAGUUAUAAACCCUCAAUGAUUCUGGGGUCAUGGAUUUCAUCCAGUCAGUGAGUAUCGGACACCUAUUCUGUGCUACACACUGUUCUAAGUUCACUGGUUAAACUUUUGAUCAGCAAUAAAACUAGAAGUCACACUGAUGGAAUGAGUAAAUAGCUAUGUGACAUAUUCCCUUUAUUUGGUGGAUGAAAAAAUUUUAGGACUGGAGACUGUGGGCUCCAUAGCAACAGCAGGAGACCCUAUUAAAUUUGCUUACAUUCUCCAGGCCUCAGAUGCCAAAUGACAGUCCUGACUCAAUCAUCUCAAGGCUUCCUUCCAACUCUGACAUUUGGAAAUUUUUAUCAUACACGCAAGUCUUUUUAAGCCUCACUUGGCUAGGUGUUCUGAGCAAUGCAAGGGGAAGAGGAGAUGGGACAAGGGUUAAGUUCCCAUCAGAGAAUCACACACCUGGGAGGAAUCCUGGUGGGCAUGAUGUUCAAAUCCCAGGUAAUGUGUACAAAUUCUCUAUAAAAACCCCAAGAUGUGGUCAUCUAGCCUCUUUGCAAACACUCCAAAUGAGAGAACUCAUUACUCUAUGAAGUGAUCACUAAGCCAAUCAACACAAAGGGCCCCAAUAAGUCAACAGGGUUUGGUGGACACAGUCUGAAGUCUCCACGUGACUGUCAAGAUAAAUUCUACCAAUUACCUAGAGUAGGAGCUGGCAAACCUCUUCAUUUUGGUGCCAGUGGGAGACUUAGGAAAAAAGCUUUUUAAAAAAGGAAAGUGAUCAAGAAAACUGGAAAGUGGGAGAGCAGUGGCUCUACACCACUCACUGUGACCCAGGGCAAGCCCUUGAACAUCUGCGUCUCAGUACCCAUCUGUAAAAUGGGUUGUUGUAAGGACUGAAUGAGCUGACGUGUGCAAAGGACUCAGCACACAGUAAGCACUCAUGACUAAAGCAGGAAAGUCAUGAAAAAUGGCAGAGACAAAGAUUUUAGAAAGAUUACAAGUUUCAAGAAAAAGCAGUAUUGAUUGGCAGAUUUUACCAACAUUUCUCUCAGUGGCUUCUUUACGGUAUGAGGGACAGGAUUCCUGACUCUGGCCAUUUAUUAAUUAUAAAUACAUCACCACCACCUCCAUUGCCGCCACCACCACCACCUCCACCACCAUCUUCACCAUCACUGCUAUCACCACCAUCACCUUCAUAUUUAGCUUGACAUAAAUAAAGAUGGUUUCAUAUGGAAAUAUUUAGAUACAUGAGUAUAUACAUGGCUCUCCUUGCUCUUUCAGCUGAAAGGGCCUAGAAGCAACAAUACUCUAGUAGCAACAAGCACACCAAGUGCCCAGAUACUGGUUUCUAAUACUAUUCCCCACUAGAACAAACCAGAGCUCCUUGGAGAAAUGGAGGAUUUGAGGACUGGGACAGGAAAUAUACAAGAUGAUCCUGGAGCAUCAUGUAGAGAAAGUAAGUGCUAAAAACAAAACCAAAAAAUAAUAAGGGAGUAUAUCAAAUUUCUGGAAACAGGACCCAACUGAAAGAGCUCCCAAUGUUCAAAGCUAGAAAGAUUUGAGCGAUAACAUAAAUAAAGCAGUAUUGAAUUUUAACCUAAAGCAUAAAAUAAAUACCCACGAGUCCAUAUUGAUGCAAACAAAUGAUUGGGUAAAUUAAUAAAUUGGGGAGAAGAGAGAAAUCUCCCAUUCAGAAGAAUUUCAAAUCAUUGAAGUAAAUACUUCACCCUUAGCAGGACAGAGUAUAACUCCUCAUUCCUUAAGUGUGGGCUGCACAUAGGGAUUCUGCCCACAUAGCGGAGUGUGGGAAGGUGAGGGAAAAGAGGACGCUGACAGCAGAGACCUGCUGAGCACUGCCUCAGGCCAACUGUCAAGCUCGGCUCACCAUGUCACACAGAUCGUUUCCUUGAUGUGAGGUGCUGAGAAUGACAAUUUAUGUCACUGGUCUUCCUCUUGAAAACCUAUAACUCAGUCUAAUCAUGACAAAAACAUUAGACAUGCCAAUAGAGGGACAUUCAGUAAAAUAUCUCACCAGUACUUUUCAAAACUGUCAAGGUCACCAAAAACACGGAAAGUCUGAGAAACUGUCAAAACUAAGAGGAGUCUAAGGAGACAUGAAGACUAAAUGUCAUGUAGUGUCUUUGUUGCAAUCUUGGGACAGAAAAAGACAUUAGGAGAAAACAGAACAUUUGAGUAAAGUGUGAACUUGAUAACAAUUUAUCAACAUUGGUUCAUGAAUUGUGAUGAAUGAGCCAUACUAUCCUAAAGUGUUGACAAUACGGGAACCUGGGUGUGGAG
ensembl:lncRNA